GCAAACUUGGUCAUUUAGAGGAAGUAAAAGUCGUAACAAGGUUUCCGUAGGUGAACCUGCGGAAGGAUCAUUAUUGAAUAUACUUGAUGGGUUGUAGCUGGCCCUCUGGGGUAUGUGCACACUUGUCUUGAUUUUAUUCAUCCACCUGUGCACCUUUUGUAGUCUUGGGGAUAAGGUCGACUAUCGGAUUUGGUUCCGGAUGUGAGGAGUGCCUGUAGGCUCUUCUCUAUUGACUUUUCUCCCUCAAGUACUAUGUCUUUCAUAUACCACAUAGUAUGUUGUAGAAUGUAAUCAAUGGGUCUAUGUACCUAUAAUAAUCAUAUACAACUUUCAGCAACGGAUCUCUUGGCUCUCGCAUCGAUGAAGAACGCAGC
rnacentral:misc_RNA from 1 species